rnacentral:rRNA from 1 species
GUGAAGCGGCAAAAGCUCAAAUUUGAAAUCUGGCACCUUUGGUGUCUGAGUUGUAAUUUGGAGAGGCAACUUCAGGUGGGACCCAGUCUAUGUUCCUUGGAACAGGACGUCAUAGAGGGUGAGAAUCCCGUUCAUGGCUGGAUGUUCCCAUUAGUAUGUAGUGCCUUCUAUGAGUCGAGUUGUUUGAGAAUGCAGCUCAAAAUGGGUGGUAAAUUUCAUCUAAAGCUAAAUAUGGGCGAGAGACCGAUAGCGCACAAGUAGAGUGAUCGAAAGAUGAAAAGCACUUUGAAAAUAGAGUCAAAAAGUACGUGAAAUUGUUGAAAGGGAAGCGCUUGAGACCAGACAUAGCCUAUGGCAAACAACUGCCCUUCUGGGUAGUGCACUUGUCAAAGGUUAGGCCAGCAUCAGUUAGGAUGGUGGGAGAAAGGCUAGGGGAAUGUGACUCCAAUUUGGAGUGUUAUAGAUCCUGGCGCCAUGCCACCUGUCCUGACUGUGGACUGCGCUUCGGCUAGGAUGCUGGC